ACGGGAGGCAGCAGUGGGGGAUAUUGCACAAUGGGGGAAACCCUGAUGCAGCGACGCCGCGUGAGUGAAGAAGUAUUUCGGUAUGUAAAGCUCUAUCAGCAGGGAAGAUAAUGACGGUACCUGACUAAGAAGCCCCGGCUAACUACGUGCCAGCAGCCGCGGUAAUACGUAGGGGGCAAGCGUUAUCCGGAUUUACUGGGUGUAAAGGGAGCGCAGACGGCCAUGCAAGUCUGAAGUGAAAUCCACGGGCUCAACCCGUGAACUGCUUUGGAAACUGUAAGGCUAGAGUGCAGGAGAGGUAAGUGGAAUUCCUAGUGUAGCGGUGAAAUGCGUAGAUAUUAGGAGGAACACCAGUGGCGAAGGCGGCUUACUGGACUGUAACUGACGUUGAGGCUCGAAAGCGUGGGGAGCAAACAGGAUUAGAUACCCUGGUA
rnacentral:rRNA from 1 species